CCAUCAUCCCAUUCCCAACGUUCCCAAGGUUCCAUUCCCACCAUUCCCAUCAUUCCAUUCCCACCAUUCCCAAGGUUCCAUUCCCACCAUUCCCAAGGCUCCAUUCCCACCAUUCCCAAGGUUCCAUUCCCACCAUUCCCAAGGUUCCAUUCCCACCAUUCCCAAGGUUCCAUUCCCACCAUUCCCAUCAUCCCAUUCCCACCAUUCCCAAGGCUCCAUUCCCACCAUUCCCAAGGUUCCAUUCCCAC